CUCCAGACUCCUACGGGAGGCAGCAGUGGGGAAUAUUGCACAAUGGGGGAAACCCUGAUGCAGCGACGCCGCGUGAGUGAAGAAGUAUUUCGGUAUGUAAAGCUCUAUCAGCAGGGAAGAAAAUGACGGUACCUGAUUAAGAAGCCCCGGCUAACUACGUGCCAGCAGCCGCGGUAAUACGUAGGGGGCAAGCGUUAUCCGGAUUUACUGGGUGUAAAGGGAGCGUAGACGGCUGUGCAAGCCAGAUGUGAAAGCCCGGGGCUCAACCCCGGGACUGCAUUUGGAACUGUGUGGCUGGAGUGUCGGAGAGGCAGGCGGAAUUCCUAGUGUAGCGGUGAAAUGCGUAGAUAUUAGGAGGAACACCAGUGGCGAAGGCGGCCUGCUGGACGAUGACUGACGUUGAGGCUCGAAAGCGUGGGGAGCAAACAGGAUUAGAUCCCCGAGUA
rnacentral:rRNA from 1 species